rnacentral:piRNA from 3 species
UGGCCUGCAGGAUAAAGUCCAAGUUCCUCAAC